CUCCCAUUUAUCUAUCUAUCUAUCUAUCUAUCCAAAUAUCCAUCCAUCCAUCCGCCCACCCACCCAUCUACUCAUCUGUCUGUCUGUCUGUCUAUCUAUCUAUUAUCCACAGGAGUGCAAUAUCUCAAUUGUUCAGCAGGUGGGGGAGUUUCUAUUUCAGUAACUCACCCAAUGGCCUUACAUUUUGCUUUAUCUGGAGUGUACUAGGAGAUAACAGACCUUUCCUAAAAAGUGCAAUAUUCCCAUGGUCACCAGAGGGCACUCAAUUCUACCUGCAAAUCUCUAGAACCCCUCCUGGUUGCCCUCCUAGAUCCUGGGUUAUGGAUGCUGGAUGCAAAGGAUUCUACAUAUAUAUUCAGUGUUUGUGGAAAGAGAAGUGUGCACAUCCUUUUUCAGCGUCAUGGAGAAGUUUCAAUCUGCACUGACUGGUAGAAAGACUACCCACAAUAAUAAAAUCAUGGAUCUCUCAAAGUAGAGGUUCCAAAGCUGUGGGUCACAAAAGCUUAAAGUUUCCAUGGAUGAAUUUUAAGGGAUUAGUGACCUUGGAUGGUGUUGGUUUUUUUUAAACCCACUAACUCUAAUGAACAUUUAGCACUUCAUUAUGAAUGUAGGAAACAAAAAUUUUUUCUGAAGGAAUUCAUAGAUUUCACAAGCUACCAUGGUAGAAAAAGAUUUAAAACAUUUGUCCUAAAAUAUUGAAGUAUAUGAACACAAAAUAGCUAUAUAUUAAACUUUCCAUGUAUGUGGGUAUAUGUCUAUGCCUAUGUAUGUGAGAUUUCUAAGAACAAUUCACUGCAACUCUGACAUCUCUGGGUAUUUUCUACUUUGAUUUUCUUUUUGUUUCAGCUUCAUGCACACUAUUCUGGAUACAAAUUGAUGGUUUCCUCAUCUAUAAAAUGAAGUUAUCUAUAGUGUCUAGGACUGUUAUAAAAGGCUAAUGAGAUAAUAUAGGUAAAAUUCUGUAUAAAUGCUAGCCAUUAUUAUUAUCUACAUUAUAAUACUUUGAGCAGUAGUUACUUCAGAUGGAAUGAGAGAAGAAGGUGUGUUGCAACUGGUAAUACAAAUUUUUUAAAAAUAUUUUGAGGUAUUCAAACAUAGAAUCUCAUCAAAAACUUGUCUGGAAUUGACUGCCUCAAUAAGACAACAUUCAGCCUUUUUUUUCCCCUUCUCUCUGACUUAUCUCUACUCAUUCCUCUCCUCCAGCAUCCCUUCGCUGGAGAGAAGGUUAUAAGUGACUUGACUUCUCUCCUCCUCUCCCUUUUUAGCUUGUUAUUGGUAUUCAUUUUUACUACAUUUCACUAGAAGAAGAAUAUUUUUGUGGGAGGGGGGACACUGGACUUUUAUCUGCCCAAGGAAUGAUUAUAGUUUCAGACCUGAGGUUGUGUUGGUGGGGAAAGGAGGAAGAAAAUUUAAACUCUUUUUUGUCUGAAAGUGAGCUAAGGUUAAAAGAAGGAAAACAGUCAGGGCUAAUAAAUGCUCAGCAAGCAUUUAUUAAGCAGAAACAUUCUAUAAAAUCAUCUCAGAAUGUUAAAAGUUGAAAUAUUCUGCAAUCCAUUCAAAUAGAAAGUUUAAAAGCUGGAAUAUUUCUAGAAGUCUCACUGCCACUGUUUUUCUUUCUUAACUUUUCAGCUCUGUGAUGUUUUCCCCCAUUCAAUACUGACACUCAGAACAAAAUGAAAUAAAACAUUGUGGAAUCUUCAUUAUGUAAAACAGUAAUUAGCAAGAUGUCAAGACGAGUGAAUGAAUGAGGAUCUGUCAAGGAGGAUUUGUUUUAAUAGAUAUCAAGCUUCCUGUAUGAAAAAAAUUCAAAGGCAAAGUGUCUAAUGAAUGAUGCAAGUCAUUUCUGAUACAGAAUAAGAAAAGAGACUCAAUUUGCUAUUCUAAAAUAUGCAUCUGGAAGAGGCACAACCUGUGAUUUGUCAGAUGUAAUGUAAAGGUGACAAAUGUAGACAAAUCUCUAAUGAAUGCUAUAAAUACAGGUGCACACUCAUGCUGAAAACAGCUAACAACACAAGGAGGCAACUCUAAUUUCAUCGAUAUGGUGUAGAUGUGGUGGGAUGGGAUUCAUGACAGGAAAAUGGCACUGAAAGUUAUGUGUACAAUGUUCAAAAGAAAUAGAUCUAUUAGGAGUGAGAAAGUAGUAUCUUUGCCAAAAUGAUAUCUGUUUAUUUCCAUUUUGAUGACAUUUCUCCCAUUCAUCAUUACAGAUUUUUAUCUGAACAAACCAUUUGUUGGGGAAAUUGGAGAAUUUUUUGGAUUUGGGAUUUUAUGAGAGAUUUUGGAGUUUAUGAGAAGAACCUGAGGAGUUCUGGAAAGAGCACUGAUCUUGAGUUUGAAUUUGGGCUGUGUAGUUUACUAGCUAUAAGGCAAAAUCAUUUAAUCUCCCUGUCUCUCAGAUCAAUCAUUUAAAUGGAAAUUAUAACAUCUUAAGAGUUGAAAAAGACUUUAGAAGUCAUCUAGUUCAACUCAUAUCUGAAUAAGUGUGCCUCCCAUACUAUACCUUGCAAUCUCUAAUGCUGGUUUGAGGCCUUUUGCAAAAAGGAACCCACUCUGACCCACAGUGGCAAUCAUGCUUUGGGAUGGCUCUAAUUGUUAAGAAAGUUUUCUUUGUUGUUGCUUUGUUUGUCCUUUAUUCUGGAAGAAGACCAAUGAUAUCACAAUGGCAAUGUCUUAUCCAGCGGAUGAACUAGAGUUUAAGCAAAACAGAACUGUACAAAGCCAUCAGUCUCACUCUCUGCUCCAGUCAUUGGAGUCCAAUGGUGAGACAUAAGUCAAGAUGCCUAGUGAUACUUGAGAGGGCCUCUCUGCACUUUCUAUAAUAGUGCUCUUAAAGAUUACUUCUCUGGGUCCAAGCAAAGAAAAAGGUGUGAAAGAUCAGUGGAUUCCAGGUAUUGAAUGCUGUGUGAUUCUGGGAUCUCAGGGACAGCUCAAGCUAGUAACAAAAAAUUUGGGGCUCCUCAAAACCUCUGAUGCAGAAGAAAGAUGAUACCAUUCUCUUUGUCUGAGCUCUGCAAGUUCCUGACCUGAGUUUUGGCUUGUGGGCUCGCUCAAGGUUGGACUUCUGCUGGACUCAAACCAUCAGCUAAUUAGAAAGUUUCUCCAGUCCAAAGAAAUAGUCUGAGCUUCCUUGUAUUGACAAUGCUAUUGUGGAAACAUAAUGAGCUGGAGAAUGGAAUUCAGACCCCACUCUGUUCUGAAACCUAUGUGGGUCACAACCACAUAGGAUGCUGCUCACUUUGACACUUGUUCCUCAUUUAGUACCCAACCUAGGGCAGCACAACUGUUCCUUUCCCUGGACCACCAUCCCUGGAGAUACAAAGAAAGGCAAAAGAUGGUCCCUGUCCUCAAGGAAUUCUCAAUAUAAAGGAGACAACAAGUAAUUAUGAGAGAGGUGAAUGGAGGACUGAAAGUUAAGCAACAUGUCCCUAUUGAUAUAAUUAUACAUAUUGGAGAUUAGACUUGAUCUUUGGACUGAGGACCCAUCCUCUCUUCUUUGUAUCAUAUAUUGUUAUUUUAAACUCAAUGCAACCAUAGAGGUUGAGAAUAGAGCAGCUAAGAGCAUCAUUUAGGAAUACAGUCAAAAGAAUGUUGAAUAUAGGCUCAUAGCUCUGCAAUUUGCUAAUUGUAGGGCACUCAGUUAGUGAAUGAUAUUUAACAACUAGCUGGUGUUUAAACACCAGCUCUCUCCCACAAAAAGUAUGCAUGACAAAUUUUAGAAUUUAUCUGUAUUACAAACAUUUUCUUAAAUUUAGAGUGACCAUCAGCAAAACAAUAAAUCAAGACCUGAUUUUUUUAGCAUUUACUGAAUUCUGAGGAAUAAAUUGCUCACAAUGCAAGUUUAACCAUUAACUUUCAUGAGCCAGUUCAAACCAGCUCUAUUAUACUCCUGGAACCAAGACAUAUUGUUCUAGUUCUUGGUCUCAGUCUUAUCAUCCCUAAAAGAAGAGAUGAACUAAAUGACCUUUAAUGUGUCUUUGCCUUAAACCUCCCCAGACUCAUGUCUUACCUAAGAAAAUUGAAGUAUAGUUCUAGUUCUAGUACAUUCAUCUGGAUGACAAAAAACUUGAGCCAUCUCUGAAGAAAAGCAUGCAAUACUCUGGCAUUAUCAUACAAAGACGGAUGCAGAAUUAAGCAUGGAUAUUAUUUUCCCAGUAAGAAUUAAGUGGAAGCAACAGUAUCUUUCAUAGUCUACCAGCAGCAACACAAACAGCGUAUGUGCUCGUAAAGAGUUAUUAACAGUACAAGCUUCCUGGAAUGUAGACCCUAGUGAGAGAGAUCUGUCGAAUAACAAAGGAGCCUGUUGAAUCUACAAUCAUAGGAUGUAUGAGCAUGCAUCCAUGUUCCUUCUGACAACCUGCCCAUAUCCUGCAGAGACCUCAGCUGUGUCCUAACCUUGGGAGCAGCAAUCUGUUACAACUAAAAGAUAAAAUUGAGCAAAUUUUGGCACCGUUUCUCAAAUGAAAUAUCUCCAUGUAGUACUAUUUUGGUUGAGAGAAAUGGGAAAGAGCCAGUAUCAGCGCACCUGGAUUUCUGCCAUUACCUACCAUUAUAACUACCAGCAUAACCUUGAACAACUGGCAGAAUUUUAGUGUCAGAAGUGUCUUUGGAGACCACUUAUCCCAACCACACCUGGAAAAGAAUCUCCUCUACAGCAUACCUAACAGGUAGUCAUCCAACAGAUGCAUGAAGACGUGUAAUGAAAGAAAACCCACCUAAUGAAUUUUCAGGCCUUCCAGUGUACCUUUAGAUAACUCAACUGGUUUUUACAACGUGUUUUACAAUUCUCUACUUUUAUCUUCAUAAUAAUCCCAGGGAGGUAAGUACUAUUAUUUUCCCCAUUUUGCAGAUAAAGAAAUAAAGUCUUCCUCAGUCUAAAACCAGUUCUCUAUUCACUAUCUAGUAGGCACUUAACAUCAGUUGAAUGAAAAGUAAAUUGAAUGAAAUUCAAUUCAAAAAAUUGAAUGAAAAAUUAAAAAAAAGCAAGUGUAUCUUAAUCCAGUCAAGGUUUUAAAUUCAAAUCCCAACUCUACUAUUUACUUCCUGUGCGAACUUGGACAAAUCACUUAAUAUUGAAGGCCUUUAAGCUCUUCAUCUAUAAGAAGUUGUUGGAUAUAGACAAUCUCUAAGGUCCUUUCCAAUUCUAAUUUUAUGAUCUACUUAAGUUCUUAAAUAGUAAAAUGUUUAUGGAAUGACUGCCUCUUUAGUAAAGAAACUUAAAGAAGCUUAUAGUCUGUUGGAACAAGACUAACAUGAAACAAUUACAGAGACAUUAUAGAAUCAGUGUUGAAUAGCAUAGAGUCUGUUGUUAUGUUGGCUUUUGUAUAAGUAUCAAUUGAAUUAUGGUUGCCACAUUGAGGUUAAGAGACUUGGAUGGGGAAAAGAUUAAUGGUUGAAUGCUGGCUUUAAAGGCCAGAUGACAGGCUGAAAAAUGAGCAGGAGGUGAGGAAGGAGUGGCAAGAACAGACUACAAAAGGUUUUUUCUAGGUAUCUGGUUGUGAAUAGUAAUAACACACACACACAU
rnacentral:lncRNA from 1 species